AUGCAUCCACGAUGUAAAGAGGCAAAGGAACUGUCCCAAAGAGGAAGGAAGCUCUGGGUCCUCUCUGGAGAGGAAACCAAGGCCAGAAAGGGAAAGGUUUCCUCGUCCCCGUACCAGCUCUCAGGGAACUCAGGUGUGAAGCCAGGGGCUCUAGGGCCUAUGUCUCUGGGAUCCCCACUGAAUUCUGGAGUUGGACUCCACCCACCAGAUGCCAGGCUGGCCCUGCUGCUGAACGCUCCCAGGCGCUAACAGGCUGACCAUCCUGGAGGACCACACACUUGGCUACGUAAAGGCUCCACUCACACCAAAGGUGGGUGNCAGCACAUAUUAUGAAAAGCCCUGCUGACUGGGACAACGGAAUUCGCA
rnacentral:lncRNA from 1 species